GACAGAGGGUGCUAGCGUUGUUCGGAAUUACUGGGCGUAAAGGGCGCGUAGGCGGUCUGUUAAGUUCGGUGUGAAAUCCCCCUGGCUCAACUGGGGAACUGCGCUGGAAACUGGCAGACUCGAGUACCGGAGAGGAGAGUGGAAUUCCUGGUGUAGCGGUGAAAUGCGUAGAUAUCAGGAGGAACACCGGUGGCGAAGGCGGCUCUCUGGACGGAUACUGACGCUGAGGCGCGAAAGCGUGGGGAGUC
rnacentral:rRNA from 1 species